rnacentral:rRNA from 1 species
GACGAACGCUGGCGGCGUGCUUAACACAUGCAAGUCGAACGGAAAGGCCCUGCUUUUGUGGGGUGCUCGAGUGGCGAACGGGUGAGUAACACGUGAGUAACCUGCCCUUGACUUUGGGAUAACUUCAGGAAACUGGGGCUAAUACCGGAUAGGAGCUCCUGCUGCAAGGUGGGGGUUGGAAAGUUUCGGCGGUUGGGGAUGGACUCGCGGCUUAUCGGCUUGUUGGUGGGGUAGUGGCUUACCAAGGCUUUGACGGGUAGCCGGCCUGAGAGGGUGACCGGCCACAUUGGGACUGAGAUACGGCCCAGACUCCUACGGGAGGCAGCAGUGGGGAAUAUUGCACAAUGGGCGGAAGCCUGAUGCAGCAACGCCGCGUGCGGGAUGACGGCCUUCGGGUUGUAAACCGCUUUCGCCUGUGACGAAGCGUGAGUGACGGUAAUGGGUAAAGAAGCACCGGCUAACUACGUG